GUGUAACAUUCUUUCCUCCUGGGUAUGGAUCAGUAUCCUUUCUGGAAUGGGGCUCUCAUAACCUACUGUUCAACAAGCUACUCUUUAGAGGUAUGAUGGAUCUCCCCACAAAGUCUGGUUCAGGUGUCAAGACCUACACACCAAGAAACGAUGAGAAGAAUUAUCAUUCACAUGAGACUUUCUGGGGCAAGCAGAGUGGCUACCAAACAGGUCUUAAAAUGGCUUGAGAAAUCCAGCCAAUAUUGGUGAGUUGUAUUUUUGUGCCAUUUUUUUCAAAUUAAAUUUAUUCAUAUGAAGUUGUUCAUAAUAUUCUCCUG